rnacentral:lncRNA from 1 species
CUGACCACAUUUUGCUUUACAAGGUUUGAGGCAGAUCAUUGCUAGAACCAUUAACAUGCUGCAGAGGGGGAAGCUGCAGUGGGGAGAGAGAGAGAAAGUGCAGCCUGUCCAAAGGCAGCCAAUGCAAUUUGUGACUGAGCAGGGAUUUGAACGUUUGCUCCUUCUGCUGACGCCCAGCACUGCUGGCAUCUGUGCUCCGCUGGGCUGUGACAGGCGGUGGGUGUUUCUGUGCAUGUCAUUAACUGGAAGAGUCUGAAAAGCAAGAAACGUUUGUGCUUAUCUCACUUGUGUAAUUUAUGGAGCAGGUUCAGUGCAAUUAGAACAAACAAGUCCUUUGGCACCUUGCAAAUUUCCAUGGCUCACCCAUAAACUUUAGGGCGAGUUUCAGUUUAUGCUGCUGCUGGCAUUUAAUUUUCAUGGCUUUUCUGAUGGACAGACGCUCAAGAGGGGAAGCUCAAUUUAUGCCUGUUCUGUUCCUCUUAAACAGAAUGAGUGCUGCCUCUUUCCACAGUGUGUCUGCAGCCUUGCAGCCACAUCUCGUUCACCUUUAUUUUAAAGUGUGUGGUUUCUCAGGCACGCUUGGUACCACUUUUGAUUUGAGCAGUGUUAUUUCAGUCAUGGAUUGUAUUACAGGUAGACGAAACCCUUAGCCUUGGAGUAAAUGAAGCCGAGAGAGUGAGGGCUGUUUUUGUUUUGAGGUGACACCGGAAUACUGAAGAUCCUUUUCUGUACAUCCGCUGUUAAUUGGAGACUUGUUUUGUUUUCUUCACUCAGUAAAGAAGUUGGGCUACAUGUCACCCAAACACUGCUGCUGUAGUACAUCCCGUCUCCUCUCUCACACACACUCACACAUGCCCUUAGACUUGCUCGCACACACAGGCUCCGGUUUUGAGAUGCUGCCCAGGAUUUGAAAUAAAAUACCUCCUCCCUCAUAUUUCCCCACUUCAAAAUAUUGCCUUUUCCAGUGCCACUGAUUUUUUAGCUUGUUCUGGACUCAGAGCAUGAUUUCCUGCUUCCCUUCUUACCCAGAAGUAACAGAUUCCAGCCUUUCUGGAUUUUUGAACCAGAAGGAAACACAGAGAGCCCAUUCCACAGAGUCCCAUUCCACAGAGCUGACUCAGAAGGGUGCCAUUGCCAAUGAGAGCAAAAAGGCACAGAGAGAGCAAGAAGCAGGAACAAGGUUGCACUCCCCAUUUCCUGCUGUCUGUACAAGUCACCCAUUAGGAUGACCAAGGCCAACGCAGUCCCAUGGCCAGGCCUGAAUCCAGAUUGGAAUGGGUCCAGAUAACUCCCAACCCACUCUUUAGCAGGCUUUUCUUCCUUUGUCUGGUACUUUACAGGGCUAGUUCUGCUUUACUGCACCCUGCAGUCAAGGGAAGGUAUGCUUCUUAUACCUUCUUAUACAGACAGCUUUCCAGGUCAUGUGGCCAGCAGGACUAAACUGCUACUGGUGACGGAAACCAGAGCACACAGAAACGCCGUUUACCUUCCCACCGGAGCGGUACCUAUUUAUCUACUUGCACUGGUGUGCUUUUGAACAGAUGUGCUCUGCAUACUGAAAGGUUCAGAUGGCUUUUUAGAACCCCUGCUGGUGCAUAUACAGGGUAGGAACGUCUCUGUUUUAUGGCUGUCUACUUUUUAAAAAAAUUAAAUGCAGUAGAAGUUCUCAUCUAAACACUCCACCAGGAUUUUAGAUGCAGAUGAUUUUGUGGAAAGCAAUAUAUUACAAUUAUCGGUCUUUUGGCAGCUAUAGUCUAUUACCGUUGCUGCUUCAUUAAAGGUCUUAGUUGGUUGUACAUAUUCUUGCAUUUAUGUAACUGACUGUAAUGUGCAAGCAGCUCAAUGAUGUAUACAGAGACUGUGCUUAUUUAGUUUUCCUUUCUCCCUCUGCCCCCAGUAGCUGAAGCUGUUCAUUUCCUUAUAAUUCGACUGAGGACUUUCCAGUUCUUAGAACCACUUGCUAAAUAAGAGGAGGGCUCUUAAGAAUUUUACUUCCCCCAAUGCCCCUCACCUCUACAGCCUAGCUGAAGCAAUCAGUAGGAUGAAGUGACAGAACAAGAAGCUGAUAUCAAGCUCAUGCAUCCCCUCCCUGCUCCCUUUGCCAUCCCGCUGGGUUUUGUGGGAAGAGUUACAGCCCUGAGCCCCAAAUCCAACUCCCAAUCUUGCUACUAGAUGUAGCCUUCAGUUAGGGAAUCAGAUUAAUCAGUUUAAAUUCAUUUUUAAUUUAUCUCCGGUUAAUUGUGCAACACAUUUUUAAAUUGCAACUGCAUAUGUAAACUACAGGUGGCAGUUUAUUAUUAUGCCAGUCUAUAAGAGACAUUCACACACCAGGCAUGUCUCUCUCCUUUCUGAGAUGGCAGCUGCCGUAACAUAGUCAUGCACCAUCUGAAACAGAAAGAGCAUGCUUUUUGACAAAGGGAAAUAUAUACAUUUUAUAAAUAAAUAAAAGGAAGAGGACCCAAAAUGCCUAUAGGUUUUGCUGGAUAUUGGGUCCAUGAGAAAGACUCCCAGAGUCACCGUCAUCAUCUUCAUCAUCUUGCAACCUCCUUCUAGCCUUUAAGACCAUGAGUCCUCUCUGUCCAGGACUUCACAGUAUCGUCUGCAGGAACAAAGAUGACAAGAAACAUGAUCAAAGGCUCCCCCUUCUAGCAUUGCCUGUUUGGGAAAGUCUAUGCUUUUUUUCUGAAUGACUGGCUGGACAGCUCCCCUGUGGUUCCUGUGUGAUCCACGCUCCUGCUGGACAGCUCCUUUCCAGAUUUCAGACUCUGGCCUGCACAAUUUGGUGGACCUGAGUGGAUGAACCAGUGAAAUUGAAACAUGAAUCAUAGAGAUUGUUUCUCUGCAGAACUCUGACAAGCCUUCCAUGUGUGUUUUUAACAAGGACUAAUUUAUUUACUGACUCAACCUCACAAAGAGAAACGUUCACAAAUUUACAAAUUGUGCUUAUAUUUUAUUCAAAAGUGGCUUACAACAGCUUUGAUUUUCUUAUUGCCCAUUUAGUAUUGGAAAUAUUCCCCCCUGCAUAUAUCGGAGGAGGGCAAAUCUGAAGUUUCUGGGUGCUGGCUGCUCAGAAUGUCAAAAUGCAAUAACUGGUACCCCUAACUGCAUGGAUACAUACUGGCUUCUAGACCUAGCAAACAGGAAUAACCUGUUCUUUUCAAGCAACAGAAAAGAUCUCCAGUAAAAGCCAGUCUGUCAGGUUUCAGCCAGAAACACAAGUCCAAAAGAGAGCAGGGUUAAGUUCCAGAGCAGCAAACAUAUAGGUGGGGGGGGGGAGAGCAGAGGUCAAGACCCAAGGCAACAUUCGGGGAGAAGAGGCAGGAUGCUCAAACUGACAAAGAAGUUACAAAGCUGUAUAGCAGGGGUUGCCAAUCCAGCACCCACGGUGCUGCCUCUGGAAAGUGCCCUGGACUUUGGGCAUUCAUCAGAAAAUUAAAUCUCUAUCCCUCCUAGAAAGAAAGUUAUGGCACAAAAUGUGCAAGUAACUUUUUUCAAACUUGUAGGUACUUUGAAUGCUCAUUGUUCCAUGCUAAAAAGUAUUGGAGCUAAUGCAGUUAGUGAUUUUGAUCUGAUAGUGAUUCAUUGAGAAACAAGCCUCUAAGACUGAUAUUUUUAGAAUAGGAAGGGUGGUUGUGUGGGAGGAAGCCACAUUACUUGCAGUGUGUCUGCUGCUGCAUCUGUAAAAUAAAAUCUUUAUUAGUGUCCAGCCUGAAUAGUUCCUGGUGUGAUAAAACCAACAGCUUUGUCCCCGGAGCCUGCUAAAUUAACAAUGAGAGCAGACCCGGACAUUUGAUUUGCAUUUGUUUUGAGGAGCUACUGAAGGGCAUGAAGUCUUACGAUCCAAACAGAGGCCAAAUUGAAAUACAAUUUUAAUCUGGAUCACUGAGCCUGACUUCUUAUGGGGGUUGGAGUUCUUAGUGUGAACCAGUAGUAUUUAAAAACUGCAAAAUUAACAGAGCACGGAAACUUCUUUGAGGCAUUGGCAGAUAUUAAUAAUAUGCAUUAACUUGCAUAUUUAUUGUGUGAGCCUGAAGGGAAAGCUUGUGAUGGCACAUCCACGGUUGGUAGCAAUAGAUAGCGAGGCUCGUUUUUCUUUUUCUUACGUACUUUACAUGGCAUCCCUGAUGGUGCAUAUAAAUUCAGCUUCCUUGUCAUUUUUGCCCAUAUUUCCUGAUCACCUUGUCUGAUCCUAAACCCAUUUGUACUUUUAAGGGAGUGUGGAAUUCCUCAUUCCUUGAGUGCAAGAGCCAGCUGGAACCCCAAGCGGAAUACUGCAGUGUCUAAAAUUAGGUUAUGUAUCAGCCUGGUGCCCUCCAGCUGUUUUUUCAGUUACAACUCCCAUCAGCCCAUGCUGGUUGGAGUACCCAAACAGGCUGAGGUAGGGAUGGACAAAUCCAUCAGUUUGAGUUGCUCAUUAUCCCAGUUUUAAAUUCAGGCUUCCACAUAAGUUUUCGAUUUAGAACAAAACAAAGCAAAAAGUUCCUAUUGAAAUUGGUUAGCAUUGCCUUGUUCAUUUCUCCUUAUGUGCACCUGUUGAUGUACACUUUCCCCUGAUGUUUGUAUGUUUGUAUGCAUUGCUUAGUUGAAGCACUGCAUUGAAAUUCUGGAGAAAUAUGAAUUUAGGGCAGAGUCUCCAUUUCAGUUUUUGUACUACUGUUUUGAAUUAGGUAUGUUUGCAUGUAAAUGUGAACUGUCCCCAAUACCUCCUCCUCUCAUCCCAAGGUUAUUCCUCACACCAUUCAAAGCUGCUACUUCACAGUACUCUCCAUCAAACUGGCACUGCCUCAUAGGAGGGCAUUCUUAAAAUCAUCAUAGGCCCUGUCAUGCCCACUUCUUUCCCCGAUUUGCCACUUUGGUUUACCUUUGCUCAGUAUGGAAAGGCUGAAAUUAAGGAACAGCCAUUUGCAGUGGAAACAGAUGACGCCUUCAUUACCACCAUUUCCACCACUGUGGAAAUUCACAACAAUGGAGUCUGUCUUCACAUUCCUAAUAGCAUGUAAACAACAACAAAGACCUUUAUGGCAUUUUAAAGGUCAACAAUUUGUCUUGGAACAAGUUUUCAUGGACUAGAGUCUACCUAAUCAGAUGUGUUAUCCUCAAAUGGCAGGAAUAUACAAACACGGAUAUAAAGGAAAAUAUAUAUACACAAGGAUCGAAUAGCAAUUAAAUGCAAAAGGUACAGCCUGUGACGAUUCAAUUAAAGCUUGAAUGUAUGCAUAAAACUGGAUUUAGUAGCUGUCAAGCUCUGGAGAGCCAGAGGUUUGGAUUAUGGGCACUGAGUAGUUAAAACAAAGUGGCUUGUAUUAAACCCUGAGAACCACAGCUGGGCAAUACGGUAUCUGAUGAUAUAUGUUUUGAGAUGUCUCUGGUCACACUGCCUUUCUAAAUAUAUUGAUUUCUGGUCAGAGAAACGGGUGUGUUCAUUUUAGUCUGCUUCAGCAUGUGUAGCAGGAAGCAAAAGUCAGAUGCAGCAGUGCACUCUCAGAGGCCUUUAAAAAGAGCUAAUAAAACCACUUGUUGGGGACUUGGAUUUGGCUUGAGGACUUGGCUGGGACCUCAAGUAAUGAACUGCAUAGGGCAGUAUGUAUGUAGGCCUUGGAUCCCUCUGCAGGCAUAGAAGGAAAAGACUUAUGAAAUGUUGGCCUCUGUGAUUGGCAGACAAUAUAUAUAUGUAGUUGCAGCUAUCAAGUGUGUGUGUGCGUGAGAGAGAG